GGGUCAGUAGGUUGGUCGUGCCAACGGUACGUACUGUUCUCACUGAUUCCUCCUUCCUGAAUAACCGUAAUGCCAUUAAUUUGGUGUUGCGGGGAAACAGGACUGUUACUUUGAAAAAAUUAGAGUGUUUAAAGCAAGCUAACGCUUGAAUACAUUAGCAUGGAAUAAUGAAAUAGGACGAUCGAUCCUAUUUUGUUGGUUUCUAGGAUUGACGUA
rnacentral:rRNA from 1 species